rnacentral:miRNA from 1 species
CCCUAGAUGUUGCUGAACUACAACUCCCAUGAUUCUUUGAAUUACAUUGAUAGCCAGACAAUCAUGGGAGUUGCAGUUCAGCAACAUCUGGGG